GGGAGGCAAGUGUAGCUGGUGCGCACCUUAGGCUUCAAACCUAAUGUAGGGCUAGAUGACUAGUCCUUGGGGAGUUCGAUUCUCUCGCCUUCUCGCCA
rnacentral:tRNA from 3 species